rnacentral:rRNA from 1 species
UACAGAGGUCGCAAGCGUUAUCCGGAUUUAUUGGGUGUAAAGCGUCCGUAGGUGGUCUGUUAAGUCUAGAGUUAAAUACUAGAGCUCAACUCUAGCCCGCUUUGGAUACUAACAGACUAGAGUUAUAAAGAGGUUAGCGGAAUUCCAUGUGGAGCGGUGAAAUGCGUAGAUAUAUGGAAGAACACCACAAGCGAAGGCAGCUAACUGGGUAUACACUGACACUGAGGGACUAAAGCGUGGGGAGCAAAUA